UGACCGAGGGGAAGGUGUUAGGCACCCCUCGAUCCCGUGGUUCGACCACGGUAGCUUGGUGGAGCAUAUUGGCUAAUUUGACACCAUGAAUAUAUAAACCACAUAAAACACAUAAAACAAGCAACAAACAAAUCAAACAAUGUUCAAAAGCAAAAUAAUGUCCAGUCCGAGUUAUACAGUCCCGAAAAUAGAAAAAUACGGAAAUGUAAAUCCUAUUCUAAACUAAUCCUAGACUAAGCUCCAAUGCCUUACCCGACGCCUUGGGCCUUCAUCACGAACGUCCUCCGAGUACAAAAUACUUUGGGCAUUUCCCGAAUAAAAUAAUACAAGUACUUCGGGGCAUUCUCCGGCCAAAUGAUACAUUUGAUCCAAACCCAUAAAACCAAGCCAUUCAACACACAUUUUCAACAUUCAACAAUCCAUGCGUUCUAAAUUUUCCUACCCGAACCUACAAUUCGCCUACUAGAUUUAAUUUAUCACAAUUCCCACAAAUUCAAUAUAAUCGAUGAUCUAAAAUUAAUACUAAUUUACUAAUCGCGUUUAACCCCAUCCCAAAUUUCUUUUAACCCGCGAAUUUUAACAUGAAAUAAUUAUCAAGCCAUAUCAACAUCGAUUUCAUAUCAACGACUAUCUAUCCAAAUAAACAACACCAAGUAUCAACCAAAUACUCAAUCAACCAUCGUCAAACAAAUAAUGAUAAUAAAAGAGUAGAGUCGAGAAUUGAACCUCAAAAGUUUUCGAUUGACUUAAGAAGAAAGAUGAGAGCCGCUCCGAUAACCUCAACGAACCUCAAUUCGAACCCCAGCUCCGGUAUGCAUCCUUCUUUUAUUUUCUACUGACCCAAAAUAGAAAAUUGCCAAAAUAGACGAAACCAAACCCAAUUUUGUGCAAAAGAAAGCCUCAAUUCGGACCUGAAUCGCCAAUUUCGGACCCAGCUCCUACCUAAUUUUGCACACCGAAAGGAUCUAUUCCGUCUGCUUUCCAGGGGGUUUCGGGAUCGGACUCACUGCUUCCGUCUUACCAGAGUUUCAGAGAGCUCGGACAACAUCAAAAAAUGGAGAAUGGCCCAAAUUCAGGGCAACAAAGGACUGUUAACCCCCGAUGUUUAACUAUUUUCUCUCGAUCCCCUAUCUCUUUCGAUUUCUAUCUCUCUCUCUAUUUUUCUCUAUUCUUACCCCUUUCGAUCUCUUCCUCAAUCGAUGACGUGUGUGUGAAGUCGUGUGUGGUGGAGUGUGAAGCUAUGCGUGUGUGCGUAUUCCAUGAAAAUGGAACAAAAAUUGGUCCCCUGAGGAAGAUGAGUCUCUGUUCCAACUACUCUCUCUUUUUCUCACCUACAUCUUGCAAUCUCUCUUUGUGUGUUAUGGAGGAGACCAAAAUAUUGUGAGUGUGUGUAUGGUUCUUGUAACAAUAUCGUAAAGAUGAAGAAAAGAACAAAAAAAUAAAGUCCUCAAAAUGGCCUGAGGUCGAUUUUUUUAUGUAGAAGAUGAAAAAAAUGAAGGAGCGCAUAUUGUUGUGUGAAUAUUAUUCUGUGGGCCCCCUCUUUUUCUAUAUUUUUGUUGUGUAUUUUGGUUAAAAGGAAUAAAAAAAUGUAAGGGUGGGGGUGAGUGGGGUAGGUAGGGUAGGGGUAGGGUGUGGAUGAGGUGUAAAAAUUAGUUAGGAUAAGGGAAUAUUUUGGGAUUGGUGAUUUAAUUUGUUAGGAUGUGUUGUAUUUGUUUUCUUGUGGGGAAAGUGUAGAAUGGGUGAGGGUACAAUAAAAUGAGGUAAAAAUGAAUAAAAUUGAACUUGGGAGGGACAAAAUUAGGUGUCUACAGCAUUCUCCCUUUGAAUGUAAACAUAAGUGUGUUCAGACAAAGAAGUGGACAACGAGACAAAAUUUUGUCUCGACCAUUAUUCAAAAAGAAUAAAACAGAAGGAAGGAGGGAAACCAAGUCUUGACUUUGGACAUCAUACUCAUCCCUAGUUAUGAGGGAAUCAAGUCACGGGUAUCUCAAAUGAUUGAAAGGAGAGGGACUAUACCGAUUUGGAGAGUCGAGUGAGAUUCCAUCGAGAUUCCGGUCCGCGGCUCUAUUAUUACAUUAAAAAUGAAAAUUACAAGUUAAAACAUAAAUAAAAUUACAAAAAUCCUAUCUAUGCGGCUUCUUUUGGACUCUUGACUUGAGUUUCAUCACCCUAUUCUUCAGGCGGGCUCCUGACUUGCAAUUUCUUCAACUUGUUGCCUGACUUUCAAUUUCUUCACCCUGUUCUCCAGGUGGGCUCCUGACUUGCUAUUUUUUAGUUUCUUCACCUUGUUGUUUGACUUUCCAUUUAUUCUCCCUGUGCUUCGGGUGGGCUUUAAUGUUGCUUGAAUUAUCAAAAUAAGGAAGUGCGUCUUCUUACAGAUAUUGCUUGAAUUACCAAAAUAAGGAAGUGCGUCUCCUUACCAAUGCCGCUUGAAUUACCAAAAUAAGGAAGUGUGUCUCCUUACCAAUGCUACUUGGAUUACCCAAACAAGGAAGCGCAUCUCCUUACAAAUGUUGCUAGAAAUACCCAAACAGGAAAGCGCGUCUCCUUACCAAUGCCUCUGAAAUUACCAAAAUAAGGAAGUGCGUCUCCUUACAAAUGCCGCUUAAAUUAUCCAAAUAAGGAAGUGCCUCUCAUUACAAAUACCACUUGAAUUACCAAACCAAGAAAGUGCGUCUCCUUAUCAAUGUCUCUUGAAUUUCCCAAACAAGGAAGUGCAUCUCCUUACAAAUACCACUUGAAUUACCAAACAAGGAAUUGCGUCUCCUUACAAAUACCGCUUGAAUUACCAAACAAGGAAGUGCGUCUCCUUACCAAUAUUGCUUGAAUUACCCAGAUAAGAAAGUGCAUCUUCUUACAAAUGUUGCUUGAAUUACCUAAAUAAGGAAGUGCAUCUCCUUACAAAUGUUGCUAGAAAUACCCAAAUAGGAAAGUGCGUCUCCUUACCAAUGCCUCUUGAAUUACCAAAAUAAGGAAUGUAUCUCCUUACUAAUGUUGCUUGAAUUGUCCAAACAAGGAAGUGCAUCUCCUUACAAAUAUCACUUGAAUUACCCAAAAUAAGAAAGUGCGUUUCCUUACAAAUGUUGCUUGAAUUGUCCCAAACAAGGAAGUUCAUCUCCUCGAGAUAUUGGAUUAUGAGCUUCGUAGUGGUUUUUGAUUACCAGACCUGUGCAACAAAAUUGCCUCUUGCAUUUGUAUAAAUGAGAAUAUUACGGCCUCUGAUGUCUAGGCUUUAAAAUUCUUGAUCUGAAUGUAACAUGUGUUCCAGUUUCAUACAAAGAAAACUUGUGAGUAUAAAAACAUAGUGGUUGGUUUGUGGCUUUAGAUUUUGCGGCAAUUGCUCUUGCCUUCAUCAUAUUUAACCUUGUUUCCGACCAUUAGCAUAUGUCACUGACUUGCUGCAUCAUUGACCCAAACUCAGAUUAUUAAGACUGACUCUGAAACAAACACAGUAUCUCUGCUUUGCCAUGCUUCUCAGAUAAACCCUUUGAACCUUGGUAUUUCCAUGAGUUUCCAGACUUGUCAGUUGACAAAAAUUUCUGCAUGUCUUAUUUCGGCUAUAAUCAUGUCUCUUUCAUGUGUUGGCCUUUUGUCUUGCUUUGCACAAUUGAAGAAGCUGGUAGCCAGUUUUGAAAUCUUUUUUCACUUGUUUUGAUAUGGACUUGACUCAAAAACAAGAGAAAAAUGAUGAUGACUUUUAUUUGGACAACUGACUCAAGAAAACAAAAUAAAAACAAAAGAAGAAAGAAAAGACAAUGAAUGUUCCCAUUUGAAACAAAGAAAUAAAAUUUUUAUCUAGAAAUGACAGUCAACUCUAAUGAUUAUGCCAUGCAUUUUAGAUUAAGCUACCUGAUCUUUACAUCCAAACUUUCUACCAAUUGUUGUUGAGUUAAUGGCCGUGAAACUGAGUUAUUUCUUUAGGUCAAUUGCAUUUAAGACCUCAUUCGGCUAGUGCCACCUUGCAGGGUUUUUACCAACAAGCCUCUCGCAUUCUCUUUUUCUCAGUUCACCAUUAUCUUAUGGUGUCUGUGAGGGUUUUUCACCAAUGAGACUCUUAUUUUUAUUUUUCUCAACUCACAGUCGUCUUACAGUGCCCGUGAGGGUUUUCACCGAUAAGACUCUCUCAUUUUUAUCUCUCUCGACUUACCAUCACCUUAUGGUGCCCAUGAGGGUUUUCACCAAUAAGACUCUCAUUUUUAUUUCUCCCCUGAUUUCUUAUGCUGAGGAAGACAAGUAGUUCCCAAGAUACGUCAUCAUAUCCCUUGCAUGCUUAGCCUUAACAUUCUCAAAGAUUAAUCUGAAGGUCUUUCUUUGGUUGUACCUUGGAUUUUGGAUAGGGUUAGAAAGAAAGGAUGACAUGAGGCUUAAACGACACUUGAAGUGGGGUAGGACUUACAACUUUUGGAAUCGACUCAAAUAAUGAGAAUUAACCCAUGCCCCAGUUUCUUUGGCUAGGUGACUCUAAACUAUUUAUUUGGUUGGACCAAGCCCAGAGUAGGGCAACCUACAUAUCUCACCCUCGAAAGAGGAGAAUCAGGUCACACGUAGUUCUAGCAGCUUGUUCUUUUGAUUGAUUCUGAUUUUUUUUUCUCUUUUCUCUUUGGGAAUUUUUUUCUGACCCUAUCUUUAACACUCUUCUCUUUUCUUUCCUUUUGGACACAUUUUUUUUUUCUGACACUUUUCUUUUGAGUUUUACUGACUCUAUCUUGAUUCUAAAAGAGGGGUAUGAAAUAAAAUAGGACUAAAUCUCAAAUGGGGUAAACAAAGGAUGACACAAUGUUUGGAUAGCAGAAUGAAAUACCUUCGUCACAUCAAUCCUUAAAAAUGCAAGUAUAUAUCAUGCAAUAUGAAAGUGAAAGAUGAAAGAUCAUUAUUGACAUCUUUUCAGCAUUAACUUUGACUGAGUCUGUGUGUCACUACUUCUUCCACAAACUCCACCUUUGUUGUACAUUCCUCACAUCGAAUGACUCAUGCUUUCGUGGAGCUGAUUUUUCUAUCCCUCGGGAUCACAAAUCCGCUAUUUGACCUAAUUGAGCAAUGUUUUUCAAUUGAUGACCAAAUUAUUCUUCUGAUUCUCAAAAUAAUUGCCUUAAUUUUCAAAGAAGGUUUGAAUUUGUAACCAAUGUCUCAGCACUCUACCUAUUUUCUCAGAUGCUCUCUUUUUCUAACUUUAACCCUCUGAUUCAAUGUUUCAUGGUUAAGCUAGAUUUUAAGAUCCGGCUGAAAAUUCACCAGGCAUGUCAUAACACUAGAAUCAACAUAAAAUAUGAUGUGUAAAGAAAACAAACACAUAAUUAAAAUACAAAGGAAAAAGGACACUUCAUUUAGUUGAAAUAAAAGAUAGAAAGGUUUGAACAUAAAUGACACAGGGACAAAACAAGAUAAAUCCCAAACUAAAACCUUGAAAUAAUUCAAAAAAUAGAAAAGAAAACAAAACAAACUACCAGACCUCUUCCUAGUAGGGAGAGGAGUGACUUCUCAAUUGCUCAGCCUGACAUCUUAGCCACUGGUUUGCAUAUCAGCAUGACUAGAGCUUUUCUCACUGUCAAUGGUCUGAACCAUAUUUCAAAGAACGACAAUCUUCAAUACUGUGUCCCUGAACAUCAGAAUGAUAUUCACAUCGUACAUUAGCAUAAAAACUUCUUGAAUGUGGGUCAGGAGUAUACCCAAGAAGAGGAGUGAUCAUGCCCUGCUGUACCAAUCUCUGAAAUAAACUUGCAUACGACUCUCCGAUUGGUGUGAAACUAUCCCUCGACUUCUGUCUCAUUUCAGCGUUUGACUUAAAUUGAAAACCAGGCCUAGAAGGGCUUCGAUAUGUAUGUGGAGUUAGAGGAUGAAUCGACAGAGUUGGAGCGUGCCAGUGUGGGUAAGAUGGAGGUUGAACAUAUGGUUACACAUUAUACACUUAAUAUGUAGGUGGAGGAAUGAAAUAUAAUGGAUUUUGGGAAAGAUUCUAUGGAUCUUGGGCAUAAACUUGGGUUUGAGCCUGUGGGUAACGAUGGUGUGGUCCUCUUGCUCGUGCCUGUUGUCCAACUACAAUGGCCGAUGCAUCUUCCUCAUACUUUUUUCCUCCGAGACUUCCCGAACCUUUUUGAAUUGCUAGAGUAGUCGCUUUCAAUGUUGCCAAACUCACAAUGCUGUCGGUCUUAAUUCCAUCCUCUAUCAUCUCCCCCAUUUUGAGGACCUCAAUAAAGGGCUUGCCUAAUGCAGGUAACAAGUGUUGAUAAUAUGUUUCAUCCUGCGCUUGAAUAAAUACCUCUAUUAUCUUACUUUCUUUCAUUGACGGUUUUACCCUAGCAACUUGUUCACGCCAUCUAAUCGCAUACUCUCUGAAAGUCUCAGUAUUUUUUUUCUUCAUGUUAUUUAGGGAUUUCUCAUCACGAAUCAACUUCACAUUGUAUUAGAAUUGUUGCACAAAUUCAUUAGCUAGGUCAUCCCAACUAAUCCACUUAUCGAUGUCUUGGUCAACAAACCAUUCUGAAGCUAGGCCUGAAAGACUCUCACUGAAAUAUGCCAUGAGUAAUUCUUCCUUUCCCCAAGCACCCCUCAGUUGGUUGCAAUAACGUCUCAAAUAUGGUACCGGAUCUCCAUGUCUAUCAUACUUCUCAAACUUCGGCAUUUUAAAACCAAAAGGAAGAUGAAACCCUGGAAAUAUGCACAGAUCUUUAUAUGAGACACUUUUGUGCCCCCCAAGUCCCUGGAGGUCUUUCAUAGCCAGUUCUAACCUUCUCAAUUUUCUGGUUAUUUCCUCUUGUUCUUUUGUUAUCACAGGUUUCUCAGUGUUAAGAGGAAAUUCAGGCGGAUGAGUAUAGCCAUAAGGAUUAGUUGACUUAAAUAUGAGCUCAAUUGCAUGAUGUUGAUCAGCAAAAAUAUUCAAUACAGGAUCUCUCACAGAGUGGGGAGGCACAAGUUGUGGUUAAACCUCAAAAGUAGGAGCUUCGGGUGGGGGGGGUGCUGCAAAAACAUGAACAAUGGGUGGAGCCGAGCAUGUGGUAGCUUUGUGUUGAGGAGUGAGGAAAUGAAUAUUGGAAGUGUUUGGAUAGUGUUGCCUCGGUGUAGGUCCUGAUGCAUGUUGUGGUGUGUCAACAAAAAUAAGAAACUGUGUGUAUGUGACACUGGAGGAAAGCUAGAAAAAUAUUCCAGAUUAUCAGCGGGAAAUGGAGGAGGUGCCAACCCAUUAGCCCAAACUCAAUGUAUUUCUAUCAUUUGUUGCCUUAAUUUUUUAAUCUCUUCAUUAGCUCCUAAAUUCUCAUUGCCCGAACUCCCUAUCUGAUCAGUGACAAUAAACUCGAUAUCCUUGUUGGUCAUAACUUUCUUUGUAACUUGGUGCAAUAUGGAGGACCAGCCAAAAUACCACAAACCAACCACCUUAAACUAACUGAACAAGAGAUAGCAAAUGCGUUAGAAUUCAAUAUUUUUUUCUCAAAACCUUUUUUUCUUUUUGAAAAGGUCACCGAACCCAAGAAGGGUGCCUACAUAUCUCACUCCCGAGAGAGGAGAAUCAAGUGUGCGUAGUUCAUGAAGUCUUGCCAAAAUGGUCAAUUAAACUCUUUUUCCAUUCUUUUUCUUGAAACUUCAAAGAGAAAAGAAAAUAACAAAUUGUCAAAAGAAUCGACAAAAAUCUUUUUUGAAUUUUUCAUCUCAACAUCCCUAUACAAAAUGACAUCUAUGAUCACCCAAGAAAAUCUUUUUGAGUUUUCAAUUUUACAUUUCAUGCGAAAAUAAAACUUGAACCAAUAAAAGGAAAAUCUUUUUUUUUGUAGUUUCCUUUUAAAGAUGUAUAAGAAACACUUACUCUAAAUAAAGAGUGGAGAAAAUCUUUUUGGAUUUUUCAAAUAAGAUUCCCGAACCAACAAUAGGCUGCCUACGUUUCUCACUCCCGAAAGAGGAGAAUCAGGGAUGCGUAGUUCAUCCAGAUUGGACAAUUAAGGAUUAAAUGACAAACUAAAUCCUGAAUUUAGAGACACGACUAAAAACAGACAAUAAAAGUAAAACCUUUUUUGGAUUUUUAAGUAGAAACUAACACCAACAACUAUGACAGAAAAAUUCUUUUUGAUAUUUUCGUUAUAUAAAAAUGUACAAAGCUCCUAUUAAAAGGAAAAAAAUAUUUUUUGGAGUUUUCAAAUUGUGAAUACUUACUAAAGAAAUAAAGGAAAAAUCUUUUUAAAGUUUUUGAUUUUUUGGGAAAUGAGUGCAAAAAGUAAAAAAAAAAACAUUUUUUUUUGAAUUGUGAAUAACAAAAGCCAAAGGACCAAGUGGGUCUUGCAAGAUCUCAAUAUGAUGCAAAUAAACAUGACCUAAAGGCUGACCUACGCUGGGGUUCACUAACAAGGCUGUUCGAGGGAGCGUAUGGUCGAUAGUGGCUGCGCUAGCUUUCUACCUACUCCAUACCAGCCGAUGGCUCCCUCUCCUAAAAAUAAAGGUGACUCAACUAUAGGUCGUGUACACAACGUGUACUAAAAAUAAUUUUUGACUCUUUAAACUGAUUUGCGAACAGAGAUCCGGCUAAGGAAUUCUAUUGACCGAGGGGAAGGUGUUAGACACCCCUCGAUCCCGUGGUUCAACCACGGUAGCUUGGUGGAGCAUAUCGGUUAAUUUGACACCAUGAAUAUAUAAACCACAUAAAACACAUAAAACAAGCAACAAACAAAUCAAACAAAGUUCAAAACAAAAAUAAUGUCCAGUCCGAGUUAUACAGUCCCGAAAAAAAUACGAAAAUGUAAAUUCUAUUCUAAAAUAAUCCUAGACUAAGCUCCAAUGCCUCACCCGACGCCUCGGGACUUCAUCAAGAAUGUCCUCCAAGUAGAAAAUACUUCGAGGCAUUCCCCGAAUAAAAUAAUACAAGUACUUCGGGGCAUUCCCCGGCCAAAUGAUACAUUUGAUCCAAACCCAUAAAACCAAGCCAUUCAACACAUAUUUUCAAUAUUCAACAAUCCACACGUUCUAAAUUUGCCUAUCCGAACCUACAAUUUGCCUACCAGAUUUGAUUUAUCACAAUUCCCACAAAUUCAAUAUAAUCGAUGAUCCAAAAUUAAUACUAAUUUACUAAUCACGUUUAACCCCUUCCCAAAUUUCUUUUAACCCGCGGAUUUUAAAAUGAAAUAGUUAUCAAGCCAUAUCAACAUCGAUUUCAUAUCAACGACUAACUAUCCAAAUAAACAAUACCAAGUAUUAACCAAAUACUCAAUCAACCAUCGUCAAACACAUAAUGAUAAUAAAAGAGUAGAGUCGAGAAUUGGACCUCAAAAGUUUUCAAUUGACUUAAGAAGAAAGAUGAGAGCAGCUCCGAGAACCUCAAUUCAAACCCCAGCUCUAGUAUGCAUCCUUCUUUUGUUUUCUACUGACCCAAAUAGAAAAUCGCCAAAAUAGAUGAAACCGAACCCAAUUUUGUGCAAAAGAAAACCUCAAUUCGGACCUGAAUAGCCAAUUUUGGACCCAGCUCCUACCUUAUUUGGCACACCGAACGGAUCUAUUCCAUUUUAUUUCCAGGGGGUUUCGGGAUCAGACUCACUGCUUCCGUCUUACCAGAGUUUCAGAGAGCUCGAAAAACAUCAAAAAAUGGAGAAUGGCCAAAUUCAGGGCAACAACGGACUGUUAACCCCCGAUGUAACUGCUUUUUCUUGAUCCCCUAUCUCUUUUGAUUCCUAUCUCUCUCUCUAUUUUUCUUUAUUCUUACCCCUCUUGAUCUCUUCCUCAAUCGAUGAUGUGUGUGUGAUGUCAUGUGUGGUGGAGUGUGAAGUUGUGCGUGUGUGCUUAUUCCGUGAAAAUGAAACAAAAAUUGGUCCCUUGAGGAAGAUGAGUCUCUGUUCCAACUACUCUCUCUUUUUCUCACCCACCUCUUGCAAUCUCUCUUUGUGUGUUAUGGAGGAGACCAAAAUGUUGUGGGUGUGUGUAUGGUUCUUGUAACAAUAUCACAAAGAUGAAGAAAAGAACAAAAAAUUGAAGUCCUCAAAAUGGCGUGAGGUCAAUUUUUUUAUGUAGAAGAUGAAAAAAAAUGGAGGAGCGUAUAUU
rnacentral:lncRNA from 1 species